GAUGAACGCUGGCGGCGUGCCUAAUACAUGCAAGUCGAGCGAACUGAUUAGAAGCUUGCUUCUAUGACGUUAGCGGCGGACGGGUGAGUAACACGUGGGCAACCUGCCUGUAAGACUGGGAUAACUUCGGGAAACCGAAGCUAAUACCGGAUAGGAUCUUCUCCUUCAUGGGAGAUGAUUGAAAGAUGGUUUCGGCUAUCACUUACAGAUGGGCCCGCGGUGCAUUAGCUAGUUGGUGAGGUAACGGCUCACCAAGGAAACGAUGGAUAGCCGACCUGAGAGGGUGAUCGGCCACACUGGGACUGAGACACGGCCCAGACUCCUACGGGAGGCAGCAGUAGGGAAUCUUCCGCAAUGGACGAAAGUCUGACGGAGCAACGCCGCGUGAGUGAUGAAGGCUUUCGGGUCGUAAAACUCUGUUGUUAGGGAAGAAUAAGUACAAGAGUAACUGCUUGUACCUUGACGGUACCUAACCAGAAAGCCACGGCUAACUACGUGCCAGCCGCCGCAGUAAAAC
rnacentral:rRNA from 1 species